UCCUGAGGUUUUUCCUAAAACAGUUUGGAGCAACCGAGGAAAAGAUGUGAAGCAACCUCGGCGCCUCCUGCGGACCUCCAGACGUGACGAACCACUCGUUUUAUGAUCAGUCCUUACAAGUGGAUGAUUUCUGCAACUGAUGUCAUUUUCAAUCUAAUCCUUAGAAGAUUCAAAACUAGUGACCUGGGUACCACCCUUCCUGCAACCAGACUGCUUUCUAAAGACCUUCAAUUCCUUGAGAUUAAGUCACUGAGCCAGGGUUGCAGGCAUUGAAGCCAAACUGGAAAAUCUCUAAAAUCCUUGCUGUUACGGUACAUGAUUUAAGGGUAAGAAGACCAGAAAAUAAUGUGGAGAACACGAAGAAAGCCAUGCUGAGUGUACCACUCGGGAAGUAAGUGGUGUCACAGGUAUUCAGAAGGAGUGUAAGACUUACUCUGCUUGAUGUAUCAAAAUAGUGAUGGAGGAACAGAAGGCAAGCUGAGGACAAAGCACAAGCUGACACCGGCUACCUCCCCCCGACCCCCACUCCCAGGUGGGACAUGUGUGACAUUUCUCAGGCACUCCUGGCCGCCCUAAAUCUAAGGGAAGGAAAAACAAAUGGUUGACUAAUAGAGAUGACAGUCCUGCAAGACAUGAGUCUCCCUCAAUUUACAAAAUGUCUUUGUGAUUUACAAGAAGAAAAGCAUUCUUAUCAAUAACCUAAUUUCCAGAAGGAAACUCCCAACUGUCUUAAUGUUACGCUUUACUAGAGGGGAAGAACAACCUUAACUUGACAAUGGCAAGACUUCCAAUAUCUUAUAGGUGUCCUCUUUAGCAUACAAAAAUUCUCUUGAAAACCUCCCUUUUCCUUACCUCCUCUAACUCCAGAGUAUAUAAUCCGUUGCUCCUCACAGUAUUGGGGCAGCAGCUCUUUCUGCUCACGGGUCCUGUCCCCAUGCCUUAAUAAAAUCACCUUUUUGCACCA
rnacentral:lncRNA from 1 species